rnacentral:rRNA from 1 species
AAUUACGUGGGACGUAAAGCGCAUGCAGGCGGCCUGUUAAGUCAGAUGUAGAAACGGACCCGGGGACCUUUAACCGUACGGUAAGUUGCUAUUUAGUAAACGUGGCGAGGCUAGAGUCUUGUAGAGGGGGGUAGGAAUUUCAGGUGUAGCGGUGAAAUGCGUAGAGAUCUGAAGGAAUACCAGUGGCGAAGGCGGCCCCCUGGACAAAGACUGACGCUCAGAUGCGAAAGCGUGGGGAGCAAACAGGAUUAGAUACCCUGGUAG